UACGUAGGGUGCAAGCGUUGUCCGGAAUUAUUGGGCGUAAAGAGCUCGUAGGCGGUCUGUCGCGUCUGCUGUGAAAACUCAGGGCUUAACCCUGAGCUUGCAGUGGGUACGGGCAGACUAGAGUGCGGUAGGGGAGACUGGAAUUCCUGGUGUAGCGGUGAAAUGCGCAGAUAUCAGGAAGAACACCCGUGGCGAAGGCGGCUCUCUGGGACGGUACUGACGCUGAGGAGCGAAAGCGUGGGGAGCGAACAGG
rnacentral:rRNA from 1 species